rnacentral:lncRNA from 1 species
UUACCAUAAUUUAUUUAUACUUUUUAUCAAAUUGCUUCAGGUAAAAUAUAUAGUAGACUUGCCACAGUAUAUUUUCAUUCACAACAUCCCCCCAGCCUUGGUACAGGAAGGUAUAGUGAGUUCCAGACAAAAGGAAUAGUAUGUGCAGAGGCAUGAGGACAAUGGAGAACACCCUGUGAUUUGGGAAUUAAAAUAUGUAGUCCAGAAUGGUCUGAGCAAAACCAGAAGAGAAAUGGAGGGGAAAAGAGGCUGAGAGGUAAUUGGAGGAGUGAUUUACAAGGGGCUUGUAAACUGUGAUAAGCUGUUUGCACUUUAUCCUGAGGGCAAUGGCAAGCCAUUAAAGUGGUUUAUGCUAAGGAGUGAUAUGAACAGAUUUACAUUUGGGGAAGAUUAAUCUGACUGCCAUGAAAAAUAGACUUGUAGGAGGGGAAACCUUGAAGCUGGAAACUCAGGAGGCCGUUGCAUUAUUCGAACCAGAACAAAGCAGGUUCACAGGAGUAGUCUUCAGUAAGUGGACAGAUUCAAGAGGUGUUUUGAGGCUGAAUAGAAAUGUUUUCUUUAUGGAUUGACUGUGAGGGGUGGAGGAGAAGAGGCAAAGAUGAGUUCCAGCCUUCUGGCAACUGGGUGAGACCUGGUGUCAUUCACUGAGAUGGCAAGUUUAGCAGUAACAAGAUGAGGAAUUCAAGUUUCUCAAAUGUGUCUGUCACUGGGUCAAGAUAUGUGGGCCGAAGGACUUUCCACUCUUUGAAAGUAAAAUUUUUCAGAUGCUUUUGGGGGUAUUUCUUUGGUAGGUCUGGGAAAAUGUACAUUUUAUUACAGAUUUUAUGUUCAAGAUGGAAGUUUUAUUACAUAUUUUGUACUUUUCAUUUUGAUUUAUGAUAAAGAAUGAGCUAUAUAAAUUCUACUGCUGAGUGUCAUUUUGUCUGGUAGAGUNNNNNNNNNNNNNNNNNNNNNNNNNNNNNNNNNNNNNNNNNNNNNNNNNNNNNNNNNNNNNNNNNNNNNNNNNNNNNNNNNNNNNNNNNNNNNNNNNNNAGUGUCAUUUUGUCGGGUAGAGUUGCGUGAUCUAUAUAUCCCCAGUUAGAUGAGAUAACUGGCAACCUAUUUUUGGUUUAUUUCAGUAAUGGUUUGGGAAAAUGUUAUUUCAUUGUUUGGAUCCCUUAAUCGGGCUCUGUGUCCAACGUGGAAAUGACAGUAUCUAAUUUAACCACGGCUGCAACUCAACCAGAAAGUUCAACUAAGGUAUACAGCGUUGAGUAUCAUUUUCCUUAAAAAUUUGUUCUUUUGGUUCCAAAGUGAAGGGCCAUCACAAAGAAGGAUGGAUAAGUGCUCAGCAAGCCGGCAACAGAUAAGCUCCGUUCACUUCUGGGCAGCUCCUCCAUUCUACUUAUUUCAGCUAAGCAGAAUUAGAUAAUAUGAGGCCAUAUCUCAUCACAGUUCUUUGAUGUAUAUAGUUUGGAAACUGUGCAGGAAGGUUGUGCUUUAUUAUUCUUAUCACAAUACUUCUUAGUUUUAGUCUAGAAGGACAAACUGCUGACUCCAUUUAGCUUCCACUGUCAGCGGAAGUCUUACAAUCAAAGCUUGCUCGCAAUGUCUGACUGUGACCAGUCUGAUAAGAUGAACUUCAUUUCAUUAAGAGUAAAGCAGGAGACUAAAAUCCACAGGAAGCCAGCUAGGGCCUUUCCAUUAAUUCUGAUCAAAGGCUGAUCUUAAUUCUGAUUUUUGGCUCAAUGAUAAGUGCCUUUUUAAACCUAGUGUACGAAGUUGGGAUAUUUUCUUGCUUCUAUUUUUUGUGUGCUGAGUAUAUUUUGCAACUCAUUGUAUUAAAGCACAAAACAAAACCAAAGGGCUUCACAAUGGAAAAACAGAAACAAUAUUUGAGUGCUAUAUGUAACUCUGAGUUUGACAUCUGUUAGCUAUGAGACUGGGUAAGCUGAUACAAUAUCUAUGAUUCUCAGUAUUUUGUACGCUAAUUUGCGGUCAUAAAGCAGGAUAAAUGUGAUGAUUAAAGGUGGUGUGUGUAAGGUGACUGCCAUAAUUAUUUUAAUGGGAGAAUGGCUUGUUGAAACAGUAUCUGUCAGAACAUAAAGUGUUGCCAAGGAGACAUGGAUUUCCUCUGAAGACAGAUUUGGGAGAUACUGAACAAGGAAAUCCUCUAAAGGAUGAUACAGUUAUAAAGAGAAAAGGAGUUUCCAAUAGCUAUCAUUUUAAAAACACAUAAAGGAGAAGAGAAAAAAAUGAUGAUGGCUGUGUGUUGUUUAAAAAGAAAACCUAGAAGAGAGACAGCUACUUUGAUAGAUGCUAAGGUGAUGAGAAAUUUCUUAUCCUGAGAAUUCUAUGAUUAAUUUAGUUUCCUGACUGGCAUCUUAACAAGGGCACACAACAAUAAAUGGAUAGCACAGAAAUCUUUUUAAACCUUUGCACAAACAAAUGAUAGCUUUACUGGAAAUAAAUAAAUGAACCUAUUUCCCAAGUGAAGNNNNNNNNNNNNNNNNNNNNNNNNNNNNNNNNNNNNNNNNNNNNNNNNNNNNNNNNNNNNNNNNNNNNNNNNNNNNNNNNNNNNNNNNNNNNNNNNNNNGAUAGCUUUACUGGAAAUAAAUAAAUGAACCUAUUUCCCAAGUGAAGAGAGGUGGGUGAUGAGGGAGGGAGUUGGGGGAAGAAAAGAAAGUAAAGGAUUUAAUAAAAAAAAAAUAGUGUCCAAAAUAUAUGAGAUAACUUUCAGGUGUCUAAAACCAUAAAUUCAUAAAUACCGGUCUGUGUCCAAAUCAGAUACUGAAGAGUUGUGAACAGUUGUAUAAAACAUUUGAAAACCAAGAGAAAUCAAUUUUAGCAUAAGUUGUGAAAGUCACCAGGGUUACCUAAGUUCUUUGAAGGACCUGAGUGAACUUGAGAUUGAACCCCAAAGUCCCCAACCUAGUAGGGAACACUGGACUUGAACGGUUUUUCUGCAAAAUGAAAAUUAUCCUAUGUGAUUUCUAAUUACUCUCCAAAGUAUUUUUACCUUUUUUCUCUCAACUUAUUUUUGAUAGGGAGGAAAUGGAAACUUUCAACAUUAAGACUCUUCUUUUAAUAUUCAAGGAGGAAGUGGAAAUGGCCAACAUGAAAGCCAAGUUUGGAGGAUAUCUGAUGAUAUUUUCUAAACAAAAUGGGGUGAUAAAUUACAAAUGGGGUGAUAAAAUUACUCAGUGGCUUAUGCAGGUAGGUGAACAGUUAUCUACAUUGUAGAUAUUAAUCAUAUGCAGAUGACCAAUUCUGUAAAUAGCUAAAGAUAAAAUUUUGAUCUUGAGUCACUUGAAUGGAGACUGUUAGAUGCUUGCAGUUACCACUUGAUUUAAAGUCUCUCUCUAUAUAUGAAAACUAGCUGUUAAUAUGAUUUCAUGCAAUGAAAUUUAUGUGAAAUCAUACAGCUAGUAAACUGGACAAGCAGGACUCAUAGAUGUAGGUGCUCAGCACCUUAAAUUUUCCCCUCUGUUUUCCCUUUAUAAUUAAUUCAGGAGAGGUAUGCAGGCAAACGGAGAAGGGGAAGACAGAGGGUGAGAUGGUUGGAUGGCAUCACGGACUUUAUGGACAUGAGUCUGAGUAAUCUCUGGGAGCUGGUGAUGGACAGGAAGGCCUAGCAUGCUGCAGUCCAUGGGGUCGCAAAGAGUCAGAGAUGACUGAGCAACUGAACUGACUGCCUGAGGGCCCAUGACCCUCCCAGAUGACAUGAUAGUAAAGGCCUGUAUAACGUCCAUACUGGCUUUCUUAUGCAUGUUGCCCACACUGGCAUGGGAAAAUUCAUGUGUAGAAAUCAUGGGUAAAAACCCAUCAAUGUAGAAAAGCCCCCGUACAGCAGCAGCUUCCUUUCCUGAGCCACAGAGAGACAAUCAGGCCUAAAAAUUAUUUUCUAGAUUUCUUAGGAAGAAGUCAGACCAAAGUCAUGGUGUGCCCUUAACUACAGUGGAAGACUGAAGGAUUCCAGCAGAGCCUGGUUAAGCACUUACCUCCUGACCUGUGAAGAAAAGGUAAGCACCCUUCUUGCUUGUGAGUUAUUUGCCUAAGAUUAUACAGCCCUAGUCAGUAACGGUGCAGGUGGCGCUAGUGGUAAAGAACCCACCUGCCAAUGCAGGAGACUUAAG